CUGUUACACAGAGAUGAGCACAGGAUGAAGAUGGUCAGGGCAGUGCAGUGUAAUACAAGCCUGUUGGACGGGUUUGAAUCCCAAAGCUGGCAUCCAAUAGUAGCGUGGUCUCAGAUUGUUUUAAGGUGCACACCAGUUUCUUGAAACUUGGACUACAAAAGCUGGAUCAGAAGACAUUAAUAGUGAAGGGAUCCUUUGGAAUAUAAAUCCUCAUAAAGAGAGACAGACAGAGUGCGAGCCGGGGAGGGGCUGAGAAAGAGAGAGACACAGAAUCUGAAGCAGGCUCCAAGCUCUGAGCUGGCAACACAGAGCCUGAUGCAGGGCUCGAACUCACGGACCGCGAGAUCAUGACCUGAGCCAAAGUUGUAUGCUUCACCGAUUGAGCCACCCAGGUGCCCCUUUAAAACACUAAUUUUAAAACCUAUUGUUAUUAUGAAUUAGCAUAGCAUUAUAAAAAAUUAAUUUAAAUUAUUUAUGCUUUUUGGGUCAGUAAUCCCACUUAUAAUAAUCUACACUGAGAAAAUGAUUGAAGACAAGGAAAAAUCUUUCUGUACAAAAAUAUUUAUUUUAAAACUUUUUUAUAGUUAAAUAUGUGAAGUAACCUCAAAUUACAAAGUUGGGGAAAUGUUAAGGCACAUAGAACGAACUCUGUGUGAAUAUCAUAUAUUAUACGAUAAUUAUAAAUACCAUUAAGAGUAUGAAAGAUGUGUACAACAUAUGUGAAAUACAUAAAAUUAUAUGUAUACUCUGAUUACAACCAUGUGAAAUAGGUAAGGGUUGCUGUAGAGGACUAGAAUAAUUUAUGGAAAAAUAGAAGCAGUUGAAACAGGUUAACAAAUCAGGUAUAUAUUUGUAUAUAUUUGUAUAUAUUUGUAAACAAUUUCUUUCAGACUACAAACAGGUUUAUACAAUGUAUAAAAACGAAAUUAGGUCAGAUUUCCAAGUGUCUGGAAAAGAAUAGGUGUGGACCUCCUUGACUUCUGAUUCUCUUUCAUCUGAAAUCUGCUGAGCCCUUACUAAGUGAAGGGUGAAAUCUUCCAUUGCCAUUGAUGAGAACUAAGUGAAUUAUAGUGGGAGUAGACAGACCCGGCCCUUCCCUCAAGAUAGUGACUAAUUGACAAACCUUCUUGAUGGGUGUGACCUAGGGCUGACCCUUGAUGACUGGUGAUGGAUUAAAUACAGAAUGCUCACUUUUCCCUGCUUUUCUAUGAGGUUUCAAAUGAGAUGGGGCCAUUGUGAGCCAGAAGGAAUUACUAAUCCUUUUAAUCAAAACACAAGGACUGAAGCUGAGAUGAUAGUUUAGUUAUAAAGUCAAUUCUUUCAUCCUGUGUGGAAAUCCCUUCAGGUGCAUGUGUGAUUCACGUGCAUGUGUGAGAGAGAUCACCAUCUUGCCUCUGCUUGUUUAACAUGUAUUGGUACCACCGAGUGUAUCCUAUGUUUUUGAUAAGAAACAAACUUUGACAACAAACCACCCUUUUCAUGGAACGGAUCCUAAUAGCACUCUACUCUGAAAGACAAUUUGGGAAAGACUGAAUUAUAAAUAACCCUUUAAUCCUCAUACAAAGAACCAUGUCAAAAAAAGGAAUCUGGGGUGUGAAAGAGGGAUUAUAUUUAUUCUUCAAGAUCCCAAGGGGGUUAAAACUAGAAUAAAAUAAUAAAAUUAUAGUGAAUUAGGUAACUACAUGAAAAUAUGGAUUUAUUUUAGGAGUCAAGCUUCCCAUCACAAACUGUUCUCGAACAUGGAUGUGAUGAUCAUUUGCUGUGAAUGUUAUGAGGAGGACUCAAGGGUUAUUUAGGAACUUAGAAGAAUUUGGAAGAUUUGUGGCUGUCAGCCCUGAUGAUUAUCACAGAUUAUCAUCUGUGAAUCAGAGUAGAGACCAGGUUUCUGAGAUUUCUAGUCCAGGCACAAUGGGACCAGUCUGUGCUACUGAAUUUCAUACUCUGAGAGGUGGAUGGGAAAGAGGAGAACUAGGGAAGGAGGAGGUAGCCUGGGAGUGCAGCUUUGGAAGCUGUCUUCUCCACCCAUGUACAAUCAAACCCUUCCUUGCCCUCUGCUGUACAAAACUAAGAUUUUGAUCGCUUAAGUUUGUGGCUGUUGCUUCAUGGAGUUUAAUGAGGUACAUCCCAUACAGAGAAGCUACAGGACUUCUCAGAUGGUUGUUACAGGGAGGGCCUUCCUGCAUCACCGCAGUCCAUUCAUCUCUCUGCUGCCAGCAAGGGUCUGGAGGGAUGUGUCUGUACUGCCAGAGCUCUAACUGUGCCAGAUGGUUUUGUCCGAACCAAGGGAGUGACCUCAGACAGUGUUUGUCACAAGUUGCAGUCACUUUUAACUGCAAAUCUUAGUUCUGCCGGUGUUAAUGUAGAAAUCUAGGAAAAGAGGCAGCCCCUCGUAGGAAAGUGCACCUGGGUACUGGUUCUGGAGGUGGCUGGGAAACAUGGAUGUCCCUCCCAGAAAGCCCAUGCUCUUUACCCAGAUGUGUAUGGUUGAGAUCACUGCUCCCCAGGGAUGUCUAAACUCUGGGCAGACGGAGGGUAUUUGCCGGAUCCAUUAUUCUUUCUCAUUUAUCUGUAUUUGUCAAGUGUAACUAUGUGCUAUUUGUUACAUUGUAGAUACUGAGGAUAAAGUAAUAGGUAAGAAAAAGAGAGCCAAUAGUUUACAGUCUGGUUAAAUUUCUGUACUUGCUCUCACUGAGAAUUAGCUUCUCUUGGUGAUCAUCAUUAACAAAAUAGCAGCUUAGCAUUUAUGGACUUGACACCUACGUGCUAAAAACAUUUUGGUGGAAUAUUCCUAAUGAUGUAGGUGUUAUUAUUAUACCCAUUUUCCACAUGAGAAAGUGGAGACACAUAGACAAGCUAAAUGGACCAAGAUAUAUAGCCUCCAUUCAUCGUGAGAGUGGGCAUGAGAAGGCAACAACUGAGGAUUCCUUCAUCCUAUCCUGUGGGUAUUGCUUGCUGUUAAUCUCUGGGACAGGGUCUGAACCAGGCCAGGCUCUGUUAGUAACACAAUCUAGUCUCCAUCCCCCAUAAAGAUCGUUCUGAGGAGCAGGGAUUAUAUAUAGGCCCUGAGUGAAGUAGCUCGUUUUGGAAUCUCAGGUGAACAAAUAAUCUCAAGAGAGGAAGGAAGAUUCUCAAAGUUUGGAGACGGCUGCUGCAGGUUUUCCUUUGGGUGGACUAGAGGGUGAGGCUCUUUUUAUGAAACUCUUAAACUCUUAAGGAGUCAACAGGCCAGCUAAAUUGGACUUCCUGGGUUCAGAGGGUCAGCUGGACCUAACCCCAGUGGGUCAAGGAGACUUGCCAAACCUGAUGAACAGGGUCUUGGCCAAGUAGCUCAGAUUUAGUUAAGUUUUGUUCCUGUAAUACUGAAAAAACUAUAUGGAUGUGAUUCAUUUUAAUGAGAUUUAGGUGUAAUGCAAGAGUUGAGAUUUUUCCAGUUUGUAAACUCUGAACUAUUUUAUGGAGACAUAAUACCUCAUAAUGUAAACCACCAUCCUGAUUUUAAAACAAGAUACUCUCUAUGUUCUUAAGUUAUUAACUUUUUAAUUGCUUCUUCAAAACAGAUUUCUUACAUUCUUAUUUAUAGAUUAGGUGUUUAUCUUCAUCCAGCCUAUCUUUACAACUGCAUUCAAAUAUUUACUGAGUACUAUUAAAAACAAAGUUGGGGGGCGCCUGGGUGGCUCAGUCGGUUGGGCGUCCGACUUCAGCUCAGGUCAUGAUCUCGCGGUCUGUGAGUUCGAGCCCUGCGUCGGGCUCUGCGCUGACAGCUUGGAGCCUGGAGCCUAUUUCAGAUUCUGUGUCUCUCUCUCUCUCUGACCUUCCCCCG